GACGAACGCUGGCGGCGUGCUUAACACAUGCAAGUCGAACGGAAAGGCCCUGCUUUUGUGGUGUGCUCGAGUGGCGAACGGGUGAGUAACACGUGAGUAACCUGCCCUUGACUUUGGUAUAACUUCAGGAAACUGGGGCUAAUACCGGAUCGGAGCUCCUGCUGCAUGGUGGGGGUUGGAACGUUUCGGCGGUUGGGGAUGGACUCGCGGCUUAUCAGCUUGUUGGUGGGGUAGUGGCUUACCAAGGCUUUGACGGGUAGCCGGCCUGAGAGGGUGACCGGCCACAUUGGGACUGAGAUACGGCCCAGACUCCUACGGGAGGCAGCAGUGGGGAAUAUUGCACAAUGGGCGGAAGCCGGAUGCAGCAACGCCGCGUGCGGGAUGACGGCCUUCGGGUUGUAAACCGCUUUCGCCUGUGACGAAGCGUGAGUGACGGUAAUGGGUAAAGAAGCACCGGCUAACUACGUG
rnacentral:rRNA from 1 species